AUGUUGAGAAAAUGUUAUUCAACAGAGCCGAACCCAUCUCCAUUUCAUUUUGCGAAUCACCCUCGGCGAGACCCGGACCCGGACCGGAGCACCAUCCGUCUCCGGCAUCUUAACCCGCCGUCCGUGCCCCGUCGCCCACUGCUCAUCCCCGCCGCGAUGGGGAGCGUAGACCUGGUGCUGAAGUCAGCGUGCGAGGGCUGCGGCUCCACGUCGGACCUCUACGGCACUGGGUGCAAGCACACCACGCUCUGUAGCUCCUGCGGCAAGUCCAUGGCGCUUUCCCGCGCCCGAUGUCUCGUCUGCUCUGCGCCCAUCACGAACCUCAUCCGGGAAUACAAUGUGCGGGCAAAUGCCAGCACAGAUAAGGCAUUCUCUAUUGGAAGAUUUGUAACUGGUUUGCCGCCAUUCUCAAAGAAAAAGAAUGCUGAGAACAAAUGGUCUCUUCAUAAAGAAGGCCUGCAAGGACGGCAGCUUACUGACAAAAUGCUGGAGAAAUACAACAGGAAGCCAUGGAUUUUGGAAGAUGAAACUGGUCAAUAUCAGUUUCAAGGUCACAUGGAGGGAUCACAGUCAGCAACAGCUACAUACUAUUUGUUAAUGUUGCAUGGCAAGGAAUUUCACGCAUUUCCUGCUGGUUCCUGGUAUAACUUCAGUAAAGUUGCGCAGUACAAGCAGCUGACUCUGGAAGAGGCCGAGGAGAAGAUGAACAAGAGAAAGACUAGUGCAACUGGUUAUGAACGUUGGAUGAUGAAAGCAGCUACAAAUGGGCCAGCUGCCUUUGGUUCAGAUAUGAUGAAACUUGAGCCUGCUAACGAUGGGGAAAAAGAAAGUGCUCGUCAUAAGAAGGGGAAAGAUAAUGAGGAGGGUGGUAAUUCUGAUAAAGGUGAGGAGAAUGAAGAAGAGGAAGCCGGUCGUAAAGAUAGGCUCGGGCUCUCUAAAAGGGGCAUGGAUGACGAUGAGGAAGGUGGAAAAGAUCUAGAUUUUGAUUUGGAUGAUGACAUUGAGAAAGGUGAUGACUGGGAACAUGAAGAAACAUUCACCGAUGAUGACGAGGCUGUGGAUAUCGACCCAGAGGAGCGGGCAGAUUUAGCUCCUGAAAUUCCUGCUCCACCUGAAAUUAAGCAGGAUGAUGAAGAGAAUGAGGAAGAAGGUGGCCUGAGCAAGUCAGGAAAGGAAUUAAAGAAGCUGCUUGGUCGUUCUUCUGGACAAAAUGAGUCGGAUGCCGAUGAUGAUGAUGAAGAAGAUGAUGAUGAUGAGUCAUCUCCAGUGCUUGCUCCAAAGCAGACGGAUCAACCAAAAGAUGAACCUGUUGAUAACAGCCCAGCCAAACCUACACCUUCAUCAGGACAUGCUCGUAGCACACCUCCUGCAUCGAAAUCCAAGCAAAAGAGGAAAUCUGGUGGUGAUGAUGCCAAAGCAUCUAGCGGUGCUGCUUCAAAGAAAGCAAAGGUGGAAUCUGAUACAAAAACAUCAAGUAUCAAAGAGGAGACACCAUCUUCCUCAAAACCUACACCGAAGGCCUCUGCUUCAUCAAGAAGUGCCAAUGUAUCUCCUGUGACAGAGGAUGAGAUCAGGACUGUUCUUCUUGCAGUGGCUCCUGUCACUACACAAGAUUUAGUCUCCAGAUUUAAGUCUAGACUACGAGGUCCAGAGGAAGAAGCUAUUGCUGUUAAUGACUUGGCAUCCAGGCUUGGACACAGUCACAAAGUCCACAAGAGUAUCGUGCAUCGGUGCAUGGACGCUAUCAGGCUCCCCAUCCACCACCUUCAGGACAAGAACGCCUUUGCUGAAAUUCUGAAGAAAAUUUCGAAGAUACAGAAGACUAAUGGCCACAACUAUGUUGUCCUUAGAGAGGAUAAGAAAUGA
rnacentral:rRNA from 1 species